CGAACGAGUAAGCGUGGAGGAAUGUUCAUUGAGAAGAGGACACGGCCAGGCUCAAUGAGAUGGAGGCAUAGGCCACGCAAGAUUAGAUGAUCAAGAAACCCUCGAGUUUGCAGGCCUGAUCAGCCGCGGCAGGGUGCGGAGCCGGCCGGAAUGUGCCCUCAAUCUCUUUCUGACACAGGGCUGAGCGCUCUAGAAGCGAAACAAUGACCCUGCACCAAAAAAUUAAGUGAUAUCUGGGGUGCUACUAAAAGGACGCAACAAGAAGGUUUUUUAGAACAGAGAUGGAUUAGCAGAAGAUUUGUUAGAAGAAUGAAAAUUCUGUCAUGAAAAUUGUUAAAAAGCAAGGUGAACAGCUUCAGUUUCUCUGUCAUCCAAUGGAUUUCGAUUUUACAUCGAUUCUUAUGUCUAGGUUUUGUUGGUUGAUGAUUCUACAAUGCUUCGGUUGGUAGUAAAUCUGGGAGGUUGGGGAGAGGCUGUAGCAGAAAAGUUGAUUGCUGCUAACCUUGGUAAUGGGGCAAUAUUGGUCCUGUGACUUUCAAAGUGAUUAGCUUGUACUUUGUAAUUUACUGUGUAACUUAAUUUUAAACCAUUAUUAUAUAAAUUGUGACAAGCUUAUAUGCCAGGGAAGGUGAGCUACUGUAAUUAAAAUUCAGGUGUAGUUGAAGUGAUUUAGGGAAUGUAUUUUAUCAAGGGUUGCUUUGCUGUUAUGUAAGAAUGUUAUGUAGUAACCUUUAACUUUGUAUGGCAUAUCUUAGGCAACUUUGAUGAAUAAAUUAAAUCUGA